rfam:Populus trichocarpa scaffold_6_contig_80, whole genome shotgun sequence.
UCUAAAACUUUAGAUAUAUGCUAAAUAUCGAACAAUGUCUGAGUUGCAAGACAGAUUCAAACUUCUCUUUUGUUGCUAAGAUUUGAAUUGAAAAACAACAAUAUUGAGUCUUGUGAUUUUCAUGAAUGUUUUAAGCCUACAUAUUAUAUUUCCAUC